rnacentral:miRNA from 1 species
AGGAUGCCAGUACAGGCAGAGGUAGGCAGCGCCCAUGGACAAAUGGGACCAGGCACUCCUUCCCUCCUG